rnacentral:rRNA from 1 species
GACGAACGCUGGCGGCGUGCUUAACACAUGCAAGUCGAACGGUGAAGCGCCUUCCUUUUUGGUGGGUGUGGAUGAGUGGCGAACGGGUGAGUAACACGUGAGUAACCUGCCCCCUUUUUCUGGAUAACCGCAUGAAAGUGUGGCUAAUACGUGAUAUUCUGGGUCUGUCGCAUGAUGGGUCUGGGAAAGAUAUUGUUUCGGUGGGGGAUGGGCUCGCGGCCUAUCAGCUUGUUGGUGGGGUGAUGGCCUACCAAGGCGGUGACGGGUAGCCGGCCUGAGAGGGUGGACGGUCACACUGGGACUGAGACACGGCCCAGACGCCUACGGGCGGCAGCAGUGGGGAAUAUUGCACAAUGGGCGCAAGCCUGAUGCAGCGACGCCGCGUGAGGGAUGGAGGCCUUCGGGUUGUGAACCUCUUUCGCCAGUGAAGCAGGCCUGCCUCGUUUGUGGGUGGGUUGACGGUAGCUGGAUAAGAAGCGCCGGCUAACUACGUG